rnacentral:rRNA from 1 species
CAGGCUUAACACAUGCAAGUCGAGGGGCAGCAUCAUCAAAGCUUGCUUUGAUGGAUGGCGACCGGCGCACGGGUGAGUAACACGUAUCCAACCUGCCGACAACACUGGGAUAGCCUUUCGAAAGAAAGAUUAAUACCGGAUGGCAUAGUUUUCCCGCAUGGGAUAAUUAUUAAAGAAUUUCGGUUGUCGAUGGGGAUGCGUUCCAUUAGGCAGUUGGCGGGGUAACGGCCCACCAAACCGACGAUGGAUAGGGGUUCUGAGAGGAAGGUCCCCCACAUUGGAACUGAGACACGGUCCAAACUCCUACGGGAGGCAGCAGUGAGGAAUAUUGGUCAAUGGACGAGAGUCUGAACCAGCCAAGUAGCGUGAAGGAUGACUGCCCUAUGGGUUGUAAACUUCUUUUAUACGGGAAUAAAGUUAGCCACGUGUGGCUUUUUGUAUGUACCGUAUGAAUAAGGAUCGGCUAACUCCGUGCCAGCAGCCGCGGUAAUACGGAGGAUCCGAGCGUUAUCCGGAUUUAUUGGGUUUAAAGGGAGCGUAGGCGGGUUGUUAAGUCAGUUGUGAAAGUUUGCGGCUCAACCGUAAAAUUGCAGUUGAUACUGGCGACCUUGAGUGCAACAGAGGUAGGCGGAAUUCGUGGUGUAGCGGUGAAAUGCUUAGAUAUCACGAAGAACUCCGAUUGCGAAGGCAGCUUACUGGAUUGUAACUGACGCUGAUGCUCGAAAGUGUGGGUAUCAAACAGGAUUAGAUACCCUGGUAGUCCACACAGUAAACGAUGAAUACUCGCUGUUGGCGAUAUACAGUCAGCGGCCAAGCGAAAGCAUUAAGUAUUCCACCUGGGGAGUACGCCGGCAACGGUGAAACUCAAAGGAAUUGACGGGGGCCCGCACAAGCGGAGGAACAUGUGGUUUAAUUCGAUGAUACGCGAGGAACCUUACCCGGGCUUAAAUUGCAACUGACGGAACCGGAAACGGUUCUUUCUUCGGACAGUUGUGAAGGUGCUGCAUGGUUGUCGUCAGCUCGUGCCGUGAGGUGUCGGCUUAAGUGCCAUAACGAGCGCAACCCUUAUCGAUAGUUACUAGCAGGUCAUGCUGAGGACUCUAUUGAGACUGCCGUCGUAAGAUGUGAGGAAGGUGGGGAUGACGUCAAAUCAGCACGGCCCUUACGUCCGGGGCUACACACGUGUUACAAUGGGGGGUACAGAAGGCAGCUACACGGCGACGUGGUGCUAAUCCCGAAAGCCUCUCUCAGUUCGGAUUGGAGUCUGCAACCCGACUCCAUGAAGCUGGAUUCGCUAGUAAUCGCGCAUCAGCCACGGCGCGGUGAAUACGUUCCCGGGCCUUGUACACACCGCCCGUCAAGCCAUGAAAGCCGGGGGUACCUGAAGUACGUAAACGCGAGGAGCGUCCUAGGGUAAAACUGGUGAUUGGGGCUAA